rnacentral:rRNA from 1 species
UACGAGGGGGGCAAGCGUUGUUCGGAAUUAUUGGGCGUAAAGGGCGCGUAGGCGGUGCGGUAAGUCACCUGUGAAAACUCUGGGCUCAACUCAGAGCCUGCAGGCGAAACUGCCGUGCUUGAGUGUGGGAGAGGUGCGUGGAACUCCCGGUGUAGCGGUGAAAUGCGUAGAUAUCGGGAGGAACACCUGUGGCGAAAGCGGCGCACUGGACCACAACUGACGCUGAGGCGCGAAAGCUAGGGGAGCAAACAGG